rnacentral:rRNA from 1 species
AUUGAACGCUGGCGGCAGGCCUAACACAUGCAAGUCGAACGAGUGGCGGACGGGUGAGUAAUGUCUGGGAAACUGCCCGAUGGAGGGGGAUAACUACUGGAAACGGUAGCUAAUAACGCAUAACAUCGGAGGUGCCCAGAUGGGAUGAGCUAGUAGGUGGGGUAACGGCUCACCUAGGCGUCGAUCCCUAGCGGGUCUGCGAGGAUGACCAGCCAAACUGGAACUGAGACACGGUCCAGCCGCCUACGUGAGGCAGCGGUGGGGAAUAUUGCACAAUGGGCGCAAGCCUGAUGCAGCCAUGCCGCGUGUAUGAGGCAGGCCUUCGGGUUUUAAAGUACUUUCAGCGAGGAGGCGUUACUCGCAGAAGAAGCACCGGCUAACUCCGUGCCAGCAGCCGCGGUAAUAC